rnacentral:rRNA from 1 species
GACGAACGCUGGCGGCGUGCCUAAUACAUGCAAGUAGAACGCACAGUUUAUACCGUAGCUUGCUACACCAUAGACUGUGAGUUGCGAACGGGUGAGUAACGCGUAGGUAACCUGCCUGGUAGCGGGGGAUAACUAUUGGAAACGAUAGCUAAUACCGCAUAAUAUUGAUUAUUGCAUGAUAAUUGAUUGAAAGAUGCUAUUGCAUCACUACCAGGUGGACCUGCGUUGUAUUAGCUAGUAGGUGAGGUAACGGCUCACCUAGGCGACGAUACAUAGCCGACCUGAGAGGGUGAUCGGCCACACUGGGACUGAGACACGGCCCAGACUCCUACGGGAGGCAGCAGUAGGGAAUCUUCGGCAAUGGACGAAAGUCUGACCGAGCAACGCCGCGUGAGUGAAGAAGGUUUUCGGAUCGUAAAGCUCUGUUGUAAGAGAAGAACGGGUGUGAGAGUGGAAAGUUCACACUGUGACGGUAUCUUACCAGAAAGGGACGGCUAACUACGUG